CCAUGAAGACUCGCAGGGAAGGCUGUGAGGAGCCGCUGCUGGCGGCUUGCUGGUCCCAGGAGAGGUUUGAGGGGAUAGUCCUAACUGCUGCUGAAACCAUUUGUUUCGGGGAUCCUGCCUGUUUUUUUCCCCUGCUCGGCACUGACUGCCAACCUGUGCUUUUCUUUGGUGGAACGGAAAGACACCUCUGGACAAGCUGAGCACCGCCAAGACCCAAAGGCAUCAAUCAAUAAUGCCAGCUGAGUGGACACUGGACUUCCACAUCUGAAGUCAAGAAUUAACCAAGUUUUUAAGGGCUGCUGGAAGGUCCCUUCGGGGCAUGCAGAGUCGCCUUGGCCUUGGCAGUUCCUGUGGAGUUGUAAACUGCUCCCCAGGACCAAGGAGUGUUCAGUGUGGAAGUCAUCCUAAUCAGCUGACUGUCGGGUUUCGCCUGCAGGUCCCGGAGACGAGAUUGUUCUUCCAGUAACUUUGUUCCGAGGCGGAGGGGAGGGGAGACGCCGAGGGGACCCCGG